CGGGUGUACAGUUCAGACAGGCGUGCUCACGCUGUGGCCCUGGUGGAAUCCAGAUAGCUCAGUACUAGCUACGUGUGUCGCGCGCCGGUCCCGUUUGUGUCAUGGCGUCUCGCAUUUUCACGAGACAGGCUCGGCAGGCUACAUUGUUUCCUUCUUGACGCGUGGAUGCCCUGUUAAGAUAAUGAUGUGGCUUCUGGCAAGCGCCCUCGAGAGGACAGAACCCGGACUGAUAGAAUGCUAACUGCUGGAGAGCCGAGGCUAAAGGUGUCAGAGCGGCGAAUCACUUCGCCAGUGCCGUGUCGCAAGCGGAGUGCACCGUUUUGACGGUCAUUAGCGUUUCUUGCGGCCCUCAAAUGUGUGCAGGGUAGUUUUAUUCAUCAGCCGUUUUUGUGAGCGAGAUAUAUUAAGAAGAGAUUCCUGUUAAGUGGCAUGCAUGCAUAAGCACAUAAUCUAGUAUGCCUAUCAACGUAUAAGCGCCUAGGAAUACUAUUGCGUCGUUCAUUCUUUUUCGUGGUCUACUGUGCGAUCUGAACGAAGGUAAGAUUUUUGCGCCCAGUAAGCUUGUGGUUGCAGAGAAACACACACAUACUGAGCCACUUUCGUUUGCUUCAACCACAUCCAUGGCAAUAGUAUAGCGAUUACGCACCCCGUCUUUGACGUACCCCCCUGUGGGACCUGAGGUUUAAACACCGCCUCUCCGCUUGAAUUGCCGUAGCGUAUUGGCAAGGAUUUCUUCGGAAUUUCUCGUUGUUCGAAGAAGGCUUAGGUAGACAUCCGUGACUCUCUGGUUUUGCUGAUCCGAUUAUAGAGGCCAGAAACCUAAACAUGCCGUUCUCCAGGCCGUCCGAAGAGGCUGUGAUGGCACGUUGGACAAAAGGCUUAGGUAGACAUCCGUGACUCUCUGGUUUUGCUGAUCCGAUUAUAGAGGCCAGAAACCUAAACAUGCCGUUCUCCAGGCCGUCCGAAGAGGCUGUGGAGAUGGCACGUUGGACAAUGAACACAGGUGGUGGGACUCACACGGGCGCGACUGUCCACGUUUGUACUUUUUCUCAGUUGCUUUUACAACAGAACGCUUCCUCUGUUGCUUCUCCUUCGCUUUCCCUACACAUCUCCACCUUUACCUUCUGCUCCUCUCUAUGCCGCAUGUCUCUGUUUCCGCAACUUACCUCGUCUGUACUGCAACUGCUUCCUCCUCGUACCCUUCUGAUUCUGUUUCUGAUCCCUUUAUUAUUGAUGAACUUCCUGCGACCACAUCUGCGUCUUUUGCCGUAGCUCGUCCACUUCUCCAGCCGGAACCCAUACAGGCGCCACAGCGAAAGCUUGAACGGUACGUGUUGCUCGGCACGGCAUCUUUCUACCGGGAUAAUGACAACGGUAGCGAACAGUAAGGUUUCCGUAGAUUUUGAGGACACUGAUGGUGACUCAGAUGAGGAGUUCAGUCGUGACAUCAAAGAGGAGACGAGUCUGUUAGAAACAACGGGUCCGACCGGUUCGGGUGGUUGCUGGAACGAGAGCAACUCACUCGUCACACAGUGAAUGACUUUCGGCAGAAAAGAGGAAUCAGGUGGGCCAGCUUUAGGCAAGACACGCACAGCUCCGUGACGGUAGACCGUGCCGAAAGUGGCUGUCCGAGACCACUCGCUACAGACGGGAGAGGAGGAGAGCUCACCGUCAGGGCGCUCGAUGCACGACGAAAAAGCCGAGGCUUCGUUUUCGUAGCGUCCAUGCACGUGUUUUAAAACAGUACGAUCCUUUCCGUCUUUGAGCACUAAAGGGGACUUGCAAGGAACUGUUUCCCCCUGAAAGCAAGCUCGACAGGCGGUUGCGAGCGUGAUUUUGAGAACGAUCACGGAUGCCCGGUCGUUUUUAUUUUCCCUUCCGCUUCAUGUCUCCUACGCGUUCCUGUGCUCGAGGCGGGAAGUAUGUCUGCUGUUCGCCCUGGUUCGGCGAAGCUUCGAGAGCUUUCCAGCAGACUCUCCUGUGUCGAAUUUAGGGUUUAACUGUCAGAGUAGGAACGGCUGAUGUGUGUUUGAAUUCCCUGCGCCUGAGCGCGGAGAGACCACGCUUUGCACCGCCCAAGGUAAAAUUCCCCAACUUUGAAAAACAUGCCAUCCCAUAAUGCAACACUCUUGUCAAUCCCAG
rnacentral:lncRNA from 1 species